CCUACGGGAGGCAGCAGUGAGGAAUAUUGGUCAAUGGACGAGAGUCUGAACCAGCCAAGUAGCGUGAAGGAUGACUGCCCUAUGGGUUGUAAACUUCUUUUAUAUGGGAAUAAAAUGUUCCACGUGUGGGAUUUUGUAUGUACCAGAUGAAUAAGGAUCGGCUAACUCCGUGCCAGCAGCCGCGGUAAUACGGAGGAUUCGAGCGUUAUCCGGAUUUAUUGGGUUUAAAGGGAGCGUAGGGGGAUUGUUAAGUCAGUUGUGAAAGUUUGCGGCUCAACCCUAAAAUUGCAGUUGAAACUGGCAGUCUUGAGUACAGUAGAGGUGGGCGGAAUUCGUGGUGUAGCGGUGAAAUGCUUAGAUAUCACGAAGAACUCCGAUUGCGAAGGCAGUUCACUGGACUGCAACUGACACUGAGGCUCGAAAGUGUGGGUAUCAAACAGGAUUGGAUACCCUGGUAGUC
rnacentral:rRNA from 1 species